CCAAACAAGGGCAGAGCUCGUCCUGCAGCCUGCUGCUGUGCAGGAGGGCUUAAGAGGUGCUUGUGCCGCUCUCUAUGUUGGUGCUGAGAUGAUUGACUCAUUGCUGUACUUUGUUUUUAGGCACAUGCUCAGAUGGCCCUCAGCCGUUGAGCCAGAGGUCUGCUGUGAGUUCUUUCAGCCUCCCAGCCUGAGACAGUUUUGUGGUCGCUCAUCCGAUUGAGCCAGGAGUGCUGCUCGCUGUCUUCCUGUGCCAGGCUGAGGGAGGAAGGUGGGAGAAAGGAAGAAAGAAAGGAAGAGGAGGGAGCGCACCAUCCCAAUGGCUUUGCUGGGAAGGAAGCCUGGCUCCAGUUUAACAUCUGCCUGCAGCAGAGCAGCAACUGGCCACAGCACGUCCAUCUCAGGCAGGGGCUUGGGGAAGCAGCCAGGAGAGGGCAAGGAGCGAGAGAUGGGAGUGCAGGGAGCCCGUGGCCUUUGCAGAGGUGGCCGUGUAUUUCAGCAGGGAGGAGUGGGCGCUGCUGGACCCUGCGCAGCGAGCGCUGUACCGGGCUGUGAUGCUGGAGACGUAGCAGUGCGUGGCCUC